CGCGUAGGCGGUUUGCACAGUGAGGCGUGAAAUUCCCGGGCUCAACCUGGGGACUGCGUUUCAUACUCGCAGACUAGAGGAUGGAAGAGGGUCGUGGAAUUCCCAGUGUAGAGGUGAAAUCCGUAGAUAUUGGGAAGAACACCGGUGGCGAAGGCGGCGACCUGGUUCAUUACUGACGCUGAGGCGCGACAGCGUGGGGAGCAAACA
rnacentral:rRNA from 1 species